GACGAACGCUGGCGGCGUGCCUAAUACAUGCAAGUAGAACGCUGAAGAGAGGAGCUUGCUCUUCUUGGAUGAGUUGCGAACGGGUGAGUAACGCGUAGGUAACCUGCCUGGUAGCGGGGGAUAACUAUUGGAAACGAUAGCUAAUACCGCAUAAAAUGGAUUAUCGCAUGAUAAUCCAUUUAAAGGUGCAAAUGCAUCACUACUAGAUGGACCUGCGUUGUAUUAGCUAGUUGGUGGGGUAACGGCUCACCAAGGCGACGAUACAUAGCCGACCUGAGAGGGUGAUCGGCCACAAUGGGACUGAGACACGGCCCAGAAUCCUACGGGAGGCAGCAGUAGGGAAUCUUCGGCAAUGGACGGAAGUCUGACCGAGCAACGCCGCGUGAGUGAAGAAGGUUUUCGGAUCGUAAAGCUCUGUUGUAAGAGAAGAACGAGUGUGAGAGUGGAAAGUUCACACUGUGACGGUAUCUUACCAGAAAGGGACGGCUAACUACGUG
rnacentral:rRNA from 1 species